AGCGAACGUUUGCGGCGGGCUUAACACAUGCAAGUCGAACGGGCUGUUCCUUCGGGGGCAGUCAGUGGCGCACGGGUGCGUAACACGUAGGUAAUCAACCCUCUGGUUGGGGAUAACACUUCGAAAGGAGUGCUAAUACCCGGUAUGGCGCAGCGGUCUUCGGAUCGCGGCGAGAAAGACCCGCAAGGGUUGCCAGAGGACGAGCCUGCGGCCCAUCAGCUAGUUGGCGAGGUAACGGCUCACCAAGGCGAAGACGGGUAGCUGGUCUGAGAGGAUGAUCAGCCACACUGGAACUGAGACACGGUCCAGACUCCUACGGGAGGCAGCAGUGGGGAAUUUUGGACAAUGGGCGCAAGCCUGAUCCAGCCAUGCCGCGUGAGUGAAGAAGGCCUCGGUUGUAAGACUCUUUCGUCCGGGACGGAAAGUACGCACAGGUUAA
rnacentral:rRNA from 1 species